rnacentral:tRNA from 1 species
CANGGCCCCGAGGUGUUUCCACGUCAGACUGCAAACCUGAAGACGGCCCUCAGNCCCGGGGCU